rnacentral:rRNA from 1 species
AGAGUUUGAUCAUGGCUCAGGAUGAACGCUGGCGGCAUGCCUAAGACAUGCAAGUCGAACGAAGUGACCUUUUGAAAUUGGAGUGCUUGCACAAAGAUGGAUAGAGAUUUUCACUUAGUGGCGGACGGGUGAGUAACACGUAGGUGACCUACCUUUAAGACUGGGAUAACUAUUAGAAAUGAUAGCUAAUACCGGAUUAUAUGCAGUUUCGUUUCUGUAUUAAAAGGAGCCUUUAAAGCUUCGCUUUUAGAUGGGCCUGCGGCGUAUUAGCUUGUUGGUGGGGUAAUGGCCUACCAAGGCAACGAUGCGUAGCCGAACUGAGAGGUUGAUCGGCCACAUUGGGACUGAGACACGGCCCAAACUCCUACGGGAGACAGCAGUUAGGAAUAUUCGUCAAUGGGGGAAACCCUGAACGAGCAAUGCCGCGUGAACGAUGAAGGCCCUAUGGGUUGUAAAGUUCUGUUGUAUGGGAAGAACGGCUAGGAUAGGAAAUGAUCUUAGUGUGACGGUACCAUACCAGAAAGCUCCGGCUAACUACGUGCCAGCAGCCGCGGUAAUACGUAGGGAGCGAGCGUUAUCCGGAUUUAUUGGGCGUAAAGGGUGCGUAGGCGGUUUGUUAAGUAUGAGAUUCAAGCCCGAGGCUCAACCUCGGUUCGUUUCAUAAACUGGCAGACUUGAGUAUGGCAGAGGUAAACGGAAUUUCUAGUGUAGCGGUAGAAUGCGUAGAUAUUAGAAGGAACACCAGUGGCGAAAGCGGUUUACUGGGCCAUAACUGACGCUGAGGCACGAAAGCGUGGGGA